rnacentral:rRNA from 1 species
CCUACGGGGCGCACCAGUGGGGAAUAUUGGACAAUGGGCGAAAGCCUGAUCCAGCAAUGCCGCGUGUGUGAAGAAGGUCUUCGGAUUGUAAAGCACCUUCGACGGGGACGAUGAUGACGGUACCCGUAGAAGAAGCCCCGGCUAACUUCGUGCCAGCAGCCGCGGUAAUACGAAGGAGGCUAGCGUUGCUCGGAAUGACUGGGCGUAAAGGGCGCGUAGGCGGUUUAUGCAGUCAGAUGUGAAAUCCCCGGGCUUAACCUGGGAACUGCAUUUGAGACGCAUAGACUAGAGGUCGAGAGAGGGUUGUGGAAUUCCCAGUGUAGAGGUGAAAUUCGUAGAUAUUGGGAAGAACACCGGUGGCGAAGGCGGCAACCUGGCUCGAUACUGACGCUGGGGCGCGAAAGCGUGGGGAGCAAACAGGAUUAGAUACCCGCGUAG